GACAGAGGUGCCGAGCGUUAGGCGGAAUCACUGGGCUUAAAGCGUGUGUAGGCGGGUUUCUAAGUAUCUUGUGAAAUCCCCACGGCUCAACCGUGGAACUGCUGGAUAUACUGGGAAUCUUGAGCCACUUAGGGGGCAACCGGAACAAAUGGUGGAGCGGUGAAAAUGCGCAGAUAUCAGGAGGAACACCGGUGGCGAAGGCGGGGUCUCUGGG
rnacentral:rRNA from 1 species